GACGAACGCUGGCGGCGUGCCUAAUACAUGCAAGUAGAACGCUGAAGGAGGAUCUUGCUCUUCUGGAUGAGUUGCGCACGGGUGAGUAACGCGUAGGUAACCUGCCUGGUAGCGGGGGAUAACUAUUGGAAACGGUAGCUAAUACCGCAUAAGAGUAGAUGUUGCAUGACAUUUGCUUAACAGGUGCAAUUGCAUCGCUACCAGAUGGACCUGCGUUGUAUUUGCUAGUUGGUGGGGUAACGGCUCACCAAGGCGACGAUACAUAGCCGACCUGGGAGGGUGAUCGGCCACACUGGGAAUGAGACAAGGACCAGACCUCUAAGGGAGGCAGCAGUAGGGAAUCUUCGGCAAUGGGCGGAAGUCUGACCGAGCAAAGCCGCGGGAGUGAAGAAGGUUGUCGGAUCGUAAAGGUAGGUUGUAAGAGAAGAACGAGUGUGAGAGUGGAAAGUUGACACUGUGACGGUAUCUUACGAGAAAGCGACGGCUAACUACGUG
rnacentral:rRNA from 1 species